CAAUAGCGUAUAUUAAAGUUGUUGCGGUUAAAAAGCUCGUAGUUGGAUUUCUGCUGAGAACGACCGGUCCGCCCUUUGGGUGUGUAUCUGGCUCUUUCUUGGCAUCUUCUUGGUGAACGUUGCUGCACUUGACUGUGUGGAGCGCUACCCAGGACUUUUACUUUGAGGAAAUUAGAGUGUUUCAAGCAGGCAUACGCCUUGAAUACAUUAGCAUGGAAUAAUAAGAUAGGACCUCGGUUCUAUUUUGUUGGUUUCUAGAGCUGAGGUAAUGAUUAAUAGGGAUAGUUGGGGGCAUUCGUAUUUAACUGUCAGAGGUGAAAUUCUUGGAUUUGUUAAAGACAGACUACUGCGAAAGCAUUUGCCAAGGAUGUUUUCAUUGA
rnacentral:rRNA from 1 species